rnacentral:lncRNA from 1 species
AUGGAAGAAGAAUAACAUGUGCUGUUCUUUGAUUUUUCCAAAUUCUGAAGGUUCUUCAGGUGGUUUUUCCCAGACAAGUGUUUUGCAUAGACAUCGCUGCUGUUACAGUUGAUUUGGCAGACUUCGCACCAUGUAGGUUGACUGAUCUUAUUCUUAGUUAUCUUCUUGCCUUUAUUCCAAAAGUGAUCAUUAGCUUGGAUGGCAGCAAGAUAAGGUCUGAUCCCGUCAAUAGCUAUUAAUCUGACCUACAUAAUUACAUAUAUACAUAUUAAGAUUCAUACAACUUGAACACUUAUAAAGUCGAAACACAGAAAUCAAACUUACAAAAGAUAACAAAUGGAUAAUGGGACAGGUUCAAGAAGAGGAAAGGUUAUUUGAACAAAUAAAUAAUUGUAUUUAUAUGGAAGUAUACAACUCUCAAAACAUCUACAUUUUUUCAGGUAAAAGAAAGCCGUAGCUUGUGGAUAGGGGAUUAUCAGUUCUAGAUGCUAGGAUUUACAUCCCGGACCUACUGAAAGCCACCUCUUAUAGAAAGCUGCAAAAGUGAAUUCAUGGCCCAAUGACAAAUAACCUUUUACAUGCAUGCUUAAGAUAAUAUAAAAAUAAAUAGAAAACACUUGGGAUUUAACUCUAUUCUGAAGAAAAGGCUACAAUUUUUUCCUAGUUUACUAAUUAACGUACCUGA